UUGGAGGGCAAGUCUGGUGCCAGCAGCCGCGGUAAUUCCAGCUCCAAUAGCGUAUAUUAAAGUUGUUGCAGUUAAAAAGCUCGUAGUUGAAUUUCGGGGUUCAUCCGUUGGUCGGGCUUUUUUGGUCUGUACUGGCGUGAUGGAUUCCUACCUUCUGAAUAACCAGCAUGUCAUUAAUUUGGUGCGCUGGGGAAGCAGGACUGUUACCUUGAAAAAAUUAGAGUGCUUAAAGCAGGCUAUCGCCUGAAUACAUUAGCAUGGAAUAAUGAAAUAGGACGGCAUGGUUCUAUUUUGUUGGUUUCUAGGAUCACCAUAAUGAUUAAUAGGGAUAGUUGGGGGCAUUAGUAUUCAAUUGUCAGAGGUGAAAUUCUUGGAUUUAUUGAAGACUAACUUCUGCGAAAGCAUUUGCCAAGGAUGUUUUCAUUAAUCAAGAACGAAAGUUAGGGGAUCGAAGACGAUCAGAUACCGUCGUAGUCUUAACCAUAAACUAUGCCGACUAGGGAUCGGACGAUGUUAAUUUUUUAAUGACUCGUUCGGCGCCUUACGGGAAAC
rnacentral:rRNA from 1 species